GAUAGGAGAACCAGGAAAACAUGGUGCAUUGUUGAGAAAAGAAGUAGGUUUGGCGGAAGAUAAAGCAUCUUUGCUGUCUGAAAUAGAGUCUUGUGACUGUGAGGAUCACAUCAAGUAGAAACUUGAAAGUCUGCAUAGUAUAGCUUAAAUCACGAUGAGCAGCAAAAAAUCAAAGUUCGAAGGCAGCCUAGUUGAUGCAAUUGGACAAGUUUUGGAACCAAGAAUGACAACCUUUAUUUUUAUUUUUUUUACAUUGCAAAUGUUUGCAAUAAGCAGCCGUGUGCCUAUUUUCUCUGCUUGGCUAUCAGAUUCAACACAGGGAGAAAUGAGGAACUAGGAAACUAGUAAAAUCGGAAGGGCAAGUUUGUAGCUAGUACAAUUAGACAGAGGAACAUUUUAUCUUCUAUCUAUUCCGUAAAACUACCAACACUGUCUAGACUUCCAUGCCAAACAUAGCCACUUGAUACUGUAUCAGUAGGUUAUUGCUUUCACAAACCGUUGAGAUUUCAGUUGACUACCAUUUUUAUGGCUCCAAGCUUAGUGGUUUGAAAAGUUGUGUAUACUCUCAUUCUUAUAGUUAAUUUAGGCAAUUACUCGUAUAGCUAGUGAGAAAAGAACACGAUAGCUUCCAUCAAGGAGGUUUAAGAAUAGAAAUUGCUUUAAAAAAUAAUGAUGCCAGUUCUGAUGGAAAAUGAAACAGAAUCCAUUGCAAAGCUACAUAUAUCUCGUUCGAUGUUAAGAGAAACAAUACAUAUUUUCAAUAAUACAAGAGGAAAAGAAGCUGACAGAAGACAAUAGUCUUCUAGAGGAGAAAGUGAACCAAGUCGGAACAAAAACCUCACCUAACAGAAAAUUUAAUUGAUUUUGUGGCUACAGUCUAGCUAGUUCUUGAAGUUCAAUUUGAACUAGCGAAGUUACGCUUGGUUCUCAUAAUAUACAAAUGAGGUACUGAUUGAUAUGAAUGUACUUGGCAUGUAAGUAUACUAGAAACGAUGUUUCACUUACAGGAAUGCUGGAUUGGCUUCAAUUAAUCUUUCACUUUCCGGUAGUCAUAGCCAAAUCUUGAUUGACAUAGAUGGAUAUGAAUGUACUUAGCAUGUAAGUAUACUAAAAGAAUUCAUACUGACUCCAAGUUUAUUGGAAAAUUGGUCUGGUUUCUUCAUGUUGCAGUAUAUUUUUGUUCUUAUUUCUGUCAUGACUA